GCGUUCGUGUCCGAGUGGUUAAGGAGAUCGACUAGAAAUCGAUUGGGCUCUGCCCGCGUAGGUUCGAGUCCUGCCGAACGCG